ACCGUUGCCCAAGGUAGUCUCUACACAAACCUAAACCGUUGGUUACUCUCAAUUACCUAAACCAAUGGAAAUGGAGUCAACUAAUCUAAUCAUAAGAAACAUUGGAAUGAAUCUCGUCUCGAAACCAGAUGGGAUGAAUUUUAAUUUCACGAAACUCGCCUGUAACUUCAAUCUGUGUCCAACCGUCUUUUGGUUUCCACGGUAACUCUCGACACAAAUAACUGGCCGCAGUGCCGCCGCUCUGAAGUUGGUCUCUCGGCGGGCCAAUAUUAUCAACUCUCUGCCGCGAGUUCGCGUGGAAUAAGUAGCACAAAUCAGCACAAGUUAGAGAAAUUAAUAAUAACAACAACGGAAAAUACGGACGUGCCGUGUAUCCCUAUUCAGUUGUACUAAUGCCGCUGGCAUCUGCAGCUCUGCUCAAGCUAUGAAAAAAUGGAAGGAGACGUCCAGGACUGAACAGAGCUGUCACCUGUCACAGUGCAGUGCACCGACUGACUGACGCUAUUUGCUUGGAUGUUGCUGAAAGAAAGGAGGCAUUCUUCAUUGUGCAGCACUAGCCUACUGUGGAGGCCGAGAGAGUUUUGACGAGGCUUCUGUACCCAGGAGGCGGAGGCAGCAAUGCCAGCUUCAAUGCGCACAGUCCUUUAAAAGGGACACCCAGCUAAGAUUUUAUUGCAAAUUCUACACAGAAUGCACUGCUCUUCACAUUUGGUUUUGGAAACACUGUGUAUUAUUGUAAGUGUACACCAGGGGUGGGGAACCUUUUUCAUUUGAAGGGCCACUUCAAAUUACUCUGAGGGCCGUGAAAGUCCUCCGAGGGCCGUACAAUUAACACAAACUAGGAUUUCCCCCUGCACUCUAGGCCUAUAUGGAAUGCAGCCACCUUAAAACAGACCUUAACUUCUAUAUGUCCCCUGAAUAUAACUUUCAUUGUAUUGCAAAUGUUUCUUUUACAAAAUAUGCCAUAUUUCAUAUGAAGCUGCAUAAUAUUAAAAUUGUCUCAGGGGCCGCAAACGGCCCUCCAGACAUAGGUUCCCCACCCCUGGUUUACACCAGCAAAUUCAUGGUGACACUACAAUGACCUCAGCUAUUUGGUUGUUUCUAGUGUUUAGGUACUGUCACAAAGCAGUCUUACAAACACAUUUAUUUAUCUCUGUAUCAACAUUGAGGUUCUCAUAUAACCUUUCCCCAUUCUAUUCCCAAGUAAAAAUGUGCUCAUAGAAACAACUUGAAGGCAUAAUGCCCUUCACUUUCAACAUGGGUCUUCUUUGUAAACUUUGAAAGUGUAUAUUGAAAAAGUAGGCUGUAUUAUUUCUCUAUAUUAGUAAAUAAUGAGUUUUCCAUAAUGUGCAAUGCUUGAAAGUGUUUCCCAGUGUGUUGUUACAAUUUUUCCAUUUUUUGUGUCCAUGUUUUUGAAUAAUAUCCCUUCCUGCCUUUUUUGACUGUAUGAUAACAUGUCUGUUAUAUUGCUCUAUUUUAUAUUUAAAUGCAAUCAUCUUUGUUGUGUGAAAAGUGUGAAAACAAAAUGGGACAAUAAAAUCAAUGUAUUGCACAAACUGGUGUGCUUAUUUUGCACAGCCUGUGUCACAUAUAAUAAGUGAUACAUUUAUUGGGUAAAUUUAACUUCAUAAUUAAGUAAUUUAAACAGAAUAUUGGGGCUGUAUAACCCAUAUAUAGGAUAUGAUGUAAUAACCCAACAAUAAAGUACAUUCAAUAUAACGGUUUGGUUAGAAAUAACCCCACAUUUGAGUUAAUUGUUUUACUCAACCUGUUGGGUUGAAAUUUAUAACCCAAU